AUCGAACCUGAAACUGAUGCAAACCCGAAUUGCAAAAGCCCAAAAUGCCCUUUCUAAUAAUUCUCUCCAUUUUAGUGGACCAGCUGCCCGACGGGACCCAAGCCCACGGUCCUCCUCUGGGACAUAGACAUAGAAGCUCGAUCGCAGGGAACGGUUCAUCCGUGGGGGAGGAGGGCUUGCUGCGGAGUCGACGGUCAUUUACGGUUUCGGUGAUGGAUCCCAAGAGGCCGAGCUCAGACGGCGGCGGCAACCGAGGGAAGAAGCUCAAGCGCAGGGAGGUACUGGAGAAGAAGAAGGCGGUGGAUGAGCUGAUCGGAGCGGCUUAUUCCGACGGCGACCCUCUCGCUUCUUUCCCUGACUUCCGCCGUUACAGUAAAGAUGGUCUAUCUGUGUGCUUGGAAUCUGGGCACGGGAGUCACCUCUCGUCUUCGGUUAAGCAGUACAUACAAAACAUACUCAAGAUGAACAUGGAGGGGCCAUAUGGACCAGAAUGGCCCGAAGAGGAGAAGGUGAAGCGCCGGGAAACGGUUGCUCCUGAAGCCCUUUAUUUAUUUGUGCAUGAGACCACCAACGAAGGUGUGAACGUGGUGCCACUGGCAUCAGAUGAUAAAGCUGUUACCAAGAAAACUGCAGGACAGAUGGGUUCUUUGAUUGGUUUUGUCCACUACCGGUUUAUUGUGGAGGAGGAACUACCCGUCCUCUAUGUCUACGAGCUACAGCUUGAACCUCGUGCUCAAGGAAAGGGACUGGGGAAAUUCUUAAUGCAACUGGUUGAGCUAAUUGCUCGCAAGAAUCGCAUGGGUGCUGUGAUGCUAACUGUUCAAAAAGCAAAUGUGCCGGCUCUGAAUUUCUACACAAAUAGAUUGAGAGAAAAGAAAAAAAUUGAAGCUGUAGAUCAGGUGGUGUUUUUUCUUUCUCCCAAUAUGUCCAUCCUUUUCAUUCGGUGUUUGAUAAUUAAUGAAUGUUCCUGCUCUUUUGCAGAUAUGUUGUUUCAGCUAUAUCUCCAUCAAGAGUAGAUCUAGUGCUAUUGGCUGAAAAGAGCUAUGAAAUUCUCUGCAAAGCAUUUGAUCCUGAAGCAAAAGUUAUACUGGAGGAUGGUUGUUGAGGUGACACUGAUGAUUCUGUGAUCAGCUCCAAAUGCUAUAUAUCUGAGGUUUAUGUUUUGGCAUCGUGAUAACAGAGGCUAUCAGAGGACAUCACCGACAAGAGCAUAUUGCUGAAGGUUCAGUGUGCUUUGAUCUCAAAGAGUUCAAAUGUUUGAUGAUACAUUCAUCAUCCUCGUUUCACAAGCUAAAAAGGCUUCUAUUCAAGUUGUAGUUUUAGAUUUUAGUUGACACUGAACAUGUUAGAUUUAUCAGUUCUGACUCCUUAUUGUUUAACUUUCCUCUUAUUUAAAUAGUCGAUACGGGGGGUGAUUCUUGAUUAUUCUGAACAGUUAUAAUAGUGCACUUAAUAUCUAAGUUACGUCUUUCACUUUGUCGUCA